UCGAGAAAGUAUUUUCUUUUAUUUGCAUGCAUCUGAAACUCCUAAAAAGUCUAAUAAACUUUUAAAAAAAAAAAGAACAUACAUAAAUUGAUACCAUUGAUAUAUAUAUGGCAAUCACAAUAAACACACGUUCAAUAAAUAAGGUCGCGAACUUUGGUCCUCACCGGGAGACCGAGACUUCCUCUGCCAUCGAUUUAACUCCUCUGGCGAAAGGCUCCACGAGUGAUCGGCAGAGAGGACAUGUGGAAUGAGAAUGAAACCACAUAUCAAUACAGUCAAUGUGAAACGUAUGGUUGCAUUUUGGCAAAACCCGACAUGUUUCGUUAUCCUCAAGCUCCGAAAGGCAAACCCUACAUUCCAUAGAGGUUUCUGCGGUUGCGGCAGAGAAUGUGAAUUCAGGAAGAGAUUUGAUGACAGAAGGGUUAAGGCCACCUGGAGUGGUGACGACGGCGUUGGUGGAAGGGUCGGCGACGUGACGACUAAGAUUGGAGCGGCGAGAGUAAUGGUGAAGAAAGAUCAUAAAAA